GAAGUCCUUUGCUUCUUUCUGUGACCAAGGGAAGUCAGCUGGUGGAUAUCAGCUUUUUGGAUAUCAGCAACGUUUACGAUACUGUUUCUCACAGUCUCCUUCUGGAUGGAAUGUCCAAUAUACAGCUAGAAAGGCAUGAUGCAAGAGCCCAGCCCAUGAGGGAGGAUACAGAAGACCCUCAUCUGUCAGUUGGCUGUGUGCAAGGAGAUGCAUGUGAUAAAUCGAUCUGAGAGGAAGCGUGACUCCCCAAAGCAAGGACACUGCUAAAGAGGAUAUGGGCCCGCAGGCCGUCAUGCAAGGAAGGAUAUCAGUGCGGCCUCAGUCAAGAGAGAAAGCCAGACCACCACACUCAGGCUUGGCUGUAAGUACCCAGGCAUUCAGAAGAGUUGAACUCGGUGUUCUGGGCUUGAGUUUUGGUGGCACCUGCUUCCAACUGGCUUAUCGAGCUCGCAAAUUCACUGCAGUCCCUUAACGCAAAGGCACUUGGUAAGCUUUCCCUUACUCCUUGGGCUGAAAGGUGAAGUUGAACCUAGAGGGCUCAUGAGUGCUCUACCACAUUUUCGAGGUGCAAAGCCAAGCACACGCAGAGAGGGAUUUGCCAUGGUACAUGUAAAGAUACGGGAAGCGAUGGGAGUACUCAUUUUGGGGCCAGGAAUGUGCUUUUGGUGCUAUAGCCAGGUCUGCUGCAAAAUUUCAGCUUGACAGCAAUGCCCAGGAUGCUAAGUGUGCCCUACUGAGAGAUCCUUCACCCUGAGACGGGCACCAGCUGAUACAUAAAUUGACAUUUCCCCCCAGCUUUCCGAAGAGGCUUACAGCAGGUUCUCUAAUUGCACAAGUGUUUAGCACGUCCUGACUAAAUUUCUCCAGGCGCUGCUAAUGAAAGUGAAUCUACUGGGAUGACGAAUGGCUUCCUCUUCUCACCCACAGCUGCUGCAACUGUUUCUCGUGCCCCAGUGCUGCCUUGCUGACUCUUGGAUGCCGCCUGUGCAUGGCCAGGCACUGUGCAUGGGCAUACCCUGCCUGCUUGGUGUGGGUUAUCAGUGGUCAGUUCCCAUGUCAGCUAAUAGCUCUGGUGGAAGAGGACUGAUCUGUGAGUCUCUUGUUGUCCUCCUGUCCAUGCUGGGUGGGGAGACUGAAUAAAACACAUCGGAUGCUGCAGGAAGAUGCAAGAUUUGAAUAAAUUCCCCUUCCUUCUCCGUAAUCAAAACGUUUCUCCCCCGAGAACGCCUUGAUUAAUCGAUCUCACAACUGACAAAUCGAGGAUGGGAAUUCAAAAUCCAAUUGAAACGGAGGAAAACAACAUUAUGCACCAUCUGAUGCAGUCAGCGAUGUCACAGAAUGAAAUGACUGCAGAAAAACAGGGCCUUGUGCUGGAGGAGCCAUCAUUAAAAUGUGGCGAGGGUAUUAUUAAGUAAAAGAACAUUGAUUUUGUUUGAAGGAUUUGGCCGUCCAUAUUAAAUAUCAUCUCGGUAAUGUGAUCUCAGUAGUUGCUUGAAAUGUCAGCCUCACUUGGCUACAUCUGUUUGCUGGGGCUGCUGCUGGAAAAUGGAAAUGAAAAUUUCGUUCUUUAUCAGCCAUUGGUCUGCAUUAGCAACUUGAUAGGCUUCACCCAUACGGGGCUGAAUUAGCGUAGGAGCUCACUACAGGGAAUAUAGGUAUGCCAGGAACGCUGGUGUAUAUCAAACAUGCGUGACAGUAACAAGAUGAGUAAUUUAUGCAGGCAGAAGCAGCCACCAUAGCGGGAUAUUUCAAAGCCAGGAACCUCUGUAAGCUCUGGGCUUUCAUGUGAUGUGCACUAUGGAUCCAACACCGGUCCAGGUCCCCUGCUGCAUGAGUACACGCCGUGCUGCUGGCUUCAGCUCCAUGUUCCUGCUUUGGGAGAGCAGGGAGCAUCUCUGCACCCACGGACACUGCUUCUGUCAGGUACCCAAAUACCAGUGUCCUUUGUAGUGAGGGAGGUAGAAAUGUGUCUGUGUUCUAUGAGAGUCCUGCUGAAGGCAGCCCUUGGCUGGGGCAGCCUACAAAGCCACUUGUCACUGCUGGGGACGUCUGUCUGUGUCUCUGGGAGAAGUGCUCAGCACUGCCACCAGCUCAACCUGCCAAGAGGAAAGCAGCAGCCGUGUCCCAGCCUGGGCAGGGGUUGGGACUGGGUGGGCUAUCAGAUCCCUACCAACCCAAGCCAUCCUAUGAUAUUUUCUAUGGAAAAAAAAGAAAGAAAGAAAAAAAAAAAAAAAAGGAAUAGGAGAAGAAAAUGGAAAGAGGAUACUUUUGUGUUUGUUGGGUGAGUCUGG
ensembl:lncRNA